GACAGAGGGUGCAAACGUUGUUCGGAAUUACUGGGCGUAAAGCGCGUGUAGGCGGCUAUGCAAGUCGGGCGUGAAAUCCCACGGCUCAACCGUGGAAGUGCACUCGAAACUGCGUAGCUAGAGUCUCGGAGAGGAAGGUGGAAUACUUGGUGUAGAGGUGAAAUUCGUAGAUAUCAAGUGGAACACCGGUGGCGAAGGCGGCCUUCUGGACGAUGACUGACGCUGAGACGCGAAAGCGUGGGGAGCAAACAGG
rnacentral:rRNA from 1 species